UGAGAUUGAUUGUAGUAAACUAAUAAUGAGAAUAAUAAUGGAAAGCAAAUAAUUAAAUAAAAAGUAAUCAAUAAUGAGAAAGCUCUAGUUGAAGUAUUGGAUCCACUUUAGUUGUUGGGAUUGAUCACAGACACUUUGUUCUUUUGGGUUGAUUCAAUAGAUUAGUUAUGGAGAUGGAAGACGCUUCUCACCACCAUUAUCUCUCCUUAUUAUUAAAUUAAUU
rnacentral:lncRNA from 1 species